rnacentral:rRNA from 1 species
CCCUUAGAUGUUCUGGGCUGCACGCGCGCUACACUGAUGCAUUCAACGAGUUUCUUCCUGGUCCGAGAGGAAUGGGUAACCUUUUGAAAGUGCAUCGUGAUAGGGAUAGACUAUUGCAAUUAUUGAUCUUCAACGAGGAAUUCCUAGUAGACGUAGUUCAUCAGACUGCAUCGAUUACGUCCCUGCCCUUUGUACACACCGCCCGUCGCUCCUACCGAUUGAAUGCUCAGGUGAGCCAUUCGGACUUUCAUCAUGCUGGUUUCCAGUUUUGAUGAAGGAAAGUCUUGCGAACCUUAUCAUUUAGAGGAAGGAGAAGUCGUAACA